GUGCUCACUAUGGCAGCACAUACACUAAAAUUGGAACGAUACAGAGAAGAUUUCCAUGGCCCCUGUACAAGGUUGACAUGCAAGUUCGUGAAGUGUUCCAUAUUUUU
rnacentral:snRNA from 1 species